rnacentral:lncRNA from 1 species
UCCAUUUUUAAAGCCUUAUUUCUUUGAUGAGGAAAAAUAUUGGAGGUGCAAGGAGACCACUGAAGAGGCCCUUUCAAAAGAUCAGAUGACAGAUGACAGACAAGGUGGUAACAGUGAAGAGGGUAUGAACUUCCACACAGCACAAAGGAUUUGCCUAAACAUUGUGCUAAGAGACGUGACCAAACUUUAGCCUGGCUGCCACCUGCACUAUACCAUGUCCCUUAAGGUGACACACAAUGCCACCAAACCAUGAAAUAUACAUUGUUCCAACCCACAAUCCCAAACCAUUUUCAGUAAUUCUUCACGUACUGCCCUCUGUAAUUUUCUAUUGCUCCACAGCUCCCUUAAUCUUUUUUUUUAUUUCCUCCUUUUUACUUCCCCAGAGCUCCUUUGUGUUUUCUCUGUUUUCCCUUUAAAACCCUCUGUCACAUUUGUCUUAGCUGGAGUUGAGCUCAGUGUAUACUGUGUCUCUCUCCCCUGUUGAAGUAGUCUGAAUAAAAUCUGUCUUGCC